rnacentral:lncRNA from 1 species
GCUCGCCACUGACGCAUGCGCAGAGGCACUGGCCUCUCUCGGGGUUUUCUCGCGCCUGCUCAAGAUCCUCCAGCCCGACAGGGGGCGAUGAGCCGAUCCUUGCGCGGGUUUGCCCCGCCGGAGUAAUCCGGAAGAGGCCUCUUAUUAGGGCUCUGGUGGCGGCAGCGGCGGACACUUGGGGUCUGGACGCAACGGCGGCGGGAGCAUGAAAGCCCUUCCAGCCUUCGAGUCGUUCUUGCUCUUCGAGGGCGAGAAGAAGACCCACAAGUGCUAUUUGCUGGCUACAAAGUCCCCCACCCCUUGGAGCACAAGAUCAUCAUCCGAGUGCAGACCACGCUGGACUACAGCCCCAGGAAGCCUUUACCAACGCCAUCACCGACCUCAUCAGUGAGCUGUCCCUGCUGGAGGAGCGCUUCCGGACGUGCCUGCUUCCCCUUCGCCUUCUGCCGUGAUUGUCAGUUUCCUGAGGCCUCCCCAGCCACGCUUCCUGUACAGCCUGCAGAACUGUGAGUCAAUUAAACCUCUUUUCUUCAUAAAUUACCCAGUUUCUCAUAGUUCUUUAUAGCAGUGUGAAAACAGACUAAUGGACCCUUCUGGUUGAAGGAAUGCAGCCAUUCUGCUUGUUUGACUAUGUCCUUUCUAUUCAUCUCUAUUUCCUGGGAGGUGUUUAUCCAAGUGCAAUAGGAGGUAUUGGUGACCGCACAGUCCCCUCAGUGUUCUGCUAGUAAAUAGUUGAAGGUUGAUCAUUGAUCUCCUGCGUUUUCAGUCUGGCAUGGAAAAGCCCCCGUGCAACUGGUAAAGAUAUCAAUAAGCACCAGGAGGUAUCUAAAUCCACCAGGAGCCAUAGGCAUCACGUCGACGUCCAUUUACCAGUCUUCCCUGGCAAGAUUCUUCUGAAUUGUGCUGCCUUGGCCAAAAGAGGUAUGGGAGGG